rnacentral:rRNA from 1 species
GUGCCAGCAGCCGCGGUAAGACAGAGGUGCCAAGCGUUAGGCGGAAUCACUGGGCUUAAAGCGUGUGUAGGCGGAAUUGUAAGUACCUUGUGAAAUCCCACGGCUCAACCGUGGAACUGCUCGGUAUACUGCUUUUCUUGAGCCACUUAGGGGCUGUCGGAACAAACGGUGGAGCGGUGAAAUGCGUAGAUAUCGUUUGGAACGCCAACGGUGAAAACAGACAGCUGGGAGUGUGCUGACGCUGAGACACGAAAGCCAGGGGAGCGAACGGGAUUAGAUACCCCAGUAGUCC